UGGGGAAUUUUGGACAAUGGGCGAAAGCCUGAUCCAGCAAUGCCGCGUGUGUGAAGAAGGCCUUCGGGUUGUAAGCACUUUUGUCCGGAAAGAAAUCCUUGGCUCUAAUACAGUCGGGGGAUGACGGUACCGGAAGAAUAAGCACCGGCUAACUACGUGCCAGCAGCCGCGGUAAUACGUAGGGUGCAAGCGUUAAUCGGAAUUACUGGGCGUAAAGCGUGCGCAGGCGGUUUGCUAAGACCGAUGUGAAAUCCCCGGGCUCAACCUGGGAACUGCAUUGGUGACUGGCAGGGCUAGAGUAUGGCAGAGGGGGGUUAGAAUUCCACGUGUAGCAGUGAAAUGCGUAGAGAUGUGGAGGAAUACCGAUGGCGAAGGCAGCCCCCUGGGCCAAUACUGACGCUCAUGCACGAAAGCGUGGGGAGCAAACAGGAUUAGAUACCCCUGGUAGUCCACGCCCUAAACGAUGUCAACUAGUUGUUGGGGAUUCAUUUCCUUAGUAACGUAGCUAACGCGUGAAGUUGACCGCCUGGGGAGUACGGUCGCAAGAUUAAAACUCAAAGGAAUU
rnacentral:rRNA from 1 species